GGGCGGUUAGCUCAGAGGCUAGAGCGUUUCGUUUACACCGAAGAGGUCGUAGGUUCGAAUCCUGCACCGCCCACCA
rnacentral:tRNA from 1 species